rnacentral:rRNA from 1 species
GACGAACGCUGGCGGCGUGCUUAACACAUGCAAGUCGAACGGAAAGGCCCUGCUUUUGUGGGGUGCUCGAGUGGCGAACGGGUGAGUAACACGUGAGUAACCUGCCCUUGACUUUGGGAUAACUUCAGGAAACUGGGGCUAAUACCGGAUAGGAGCUCCUGCUGCAUGGUGGGGGUUGGAAAGUUUCGGCGGUUGGGGAUGGACUCGCGGCUUAUCAGCUUGUUGGUGGGGUAGUGGCUUACCAAGGCUUUGACGGGUAGCCGGCCUGAGAGGGUGACCGGCCACAUUGGGACUGAGAUACGGCCCAGACUCCUACGGGAGGCAGCAGUGGGGAAUAUUGCACAAUGGGCGGAAGCCUGAUGCAGCAACGCCGCGUGCGGGAUGACGGCCUUCGGGUUGUAAACCGCUUUCGCCUGUGACGAAGCGUGAGUGACAGUAAUGGGUAAAGAAGCACCGGCUAACUACGUGCCAGCAGCCGCGGUGAUACGUAGGGUGCGAGCGUUGUCCGGAUUUAUUGGGCGUAAAGGGCUCGUAGGUGGUUGAUCGCGUCGGAAGUGUAAUCUUGGGGCUUAACCCUGAGCGUGCUUUCGAUACGGGUUGACUUGAGGAAGGUAGGGGAGAAUGGAAUUCCUGGUGGAGCGGUGGAAUGCGCAGAUAUCAGGAGGAACACCAGUGGCGAAGGCGGUUCUCUGGGCCUUUCCUGACGCUGAGGAGCGAAAGCGUGGGGAGCGAACAGGCUUAGAUACCCUGGUAGUCCACGCUGUAAACGGUGGGUACUAGGUGUGGGGUCCAUUCCACGGGUUCCGUGCCGUAGCUAACGCUUUAAGUACCCCGCCUGGGGAGUACGGCCGCAAGGCUAAAACUCAAAGGAAUUGACGGGGCCCCGCACAAGCGGCGGAGCAUGCGGAUUAAUUCGAUGCAACGCGUAGAACCUUACCUGGGUUUGACAUGGAUCGGGAGUGCUCAGAGAUGGGUGUGCCUCUUUUGGGGUCGGUUCACAGGUGGUGCAUGGCUGUCGUCAGCUCGUGUCGUGAGAUGUUGGGUUAAGUCCCGCAACGAGCGCAACCCUUGUUCACUGUUGCCAGCACGUUAUGGUGGGGACUCAGUGGAGACCGCCGGGGUCAACUCGGAGGAAGGUGGGGAUGACGUCAAGUCAUCAUGCCCCUUAUGUCCAGGGCUUCACGCAUGCUACAAUGGCUGGUACAGAGAGUGGCGAGCCUGUGAGGGUGAGCGAAUCUCGGAAAGCCGGUCUCAGUUCGGAUUGGGGUCUGCAACUCGACCUCAUGAAGUCGGAGUCGCUAGUAAUCGCAGAUCAGCAACGCUGCGGUGAAUACGUUCCCGGGGCU